rnacentral:lncRNA from 1 species
UUGUACCCAUGUGGACAUUAGUGCUCUCCUGCUUCUCACUAGGGGCUGGAAGCCUUCCAUCUGAUAAUGGACGGUAAUGGAUGGAUGGCGGAUUUGCACGGCGUGUGGUCCCCAGGGGAGACAGCGGGGCGGGUGACUCAGAGGAUGGGAGCCUCGCCCGCCCGGCAGCACAGCCCUCCCCAGCUCCAGGAGCAUUUCCUCCUGAAAACAGGAAGCGACCUCGGUUUAUAAAUGCCCCGAAGGGAACAUUUCAGCUGUCUCCUCCGUGAUUGUACAAAGAACCAGGCAGAGAUCCUGGAAGGUCAUGAGGAUGGGAAGUGAGUCCGCGGGGGUCGUGUCUCCCCCCGGGGUGCGUGGGGCUCAGCAACACGUGUGGGGCCCUUCUCCCCAAGGCUCACUCUAGGACUCCCGGGAAAGACAGCUUGGGUGAACCUGGGUGUGGCAGGUAUUACAGGAAGGAAAAUGGGCUGUAUGGGUGAUAGAUAGGAGUGUAGGGGGAAGGGAUAGCAGGCGGAGCGGGGAAGGGAUGGCGCAGGUGGAGCACGGGCCCCUGCAGAACCAUGAGGCCACUAGGUUUCAGAGCCCUCAGGGUCCUACUGUCCCAGAAAGCCUGCGGGUCCAGCACCGGGCUUCUGUGUCUUAGGGCAGCUUUUGGAGGUGCUUCCUUUGUCUGCUAACUUACCUUUACCUUCCUACAUUUUGUUUGAAGUCAGAGAAAAUUGCCCAUUUGGGGGCAACAAUGAAGCAUUCAUCACUCUCCGGAGCUAAGCCAUCUCGAGUAGCCCUCAAUCAAACUCUGCUAUUUUUACCUCAGAGCACAGAGGCCACAGCGGAUAAAGGACCCUUAAGCAAGGGGAAUUUUCAACGGCUUCAUAAGCUGCUGAAAUGGACUGCAUAGUCGUCAUUAGAAGUGAAGGCCGUGAGAACAACCAGGAUUUCAGAAGAAAUUCCUUUGCUCAGCUCCUCAGAAUCGACACAGAUGAAGUUUUAAAAAGCCUGUUAUAUGUAAACUAGAUAUUCACCUGGGUGGGGAAGAGGAGAGCGUUUGUCUCGCAAUUGUAGUUUUAUCAUGACAUCCCCACUCUGGCUUUCCAAUCCCCAGAAACAGAACUGAACAACACUCUUGCGAAAAGUGGCCUUAUCAUGACAAAAUCCAUCCCCAUGGCCCUGCCAGCUCAAACCAUAAACACGGGAGUCGUUCCUAAUUCCCUCUUUUUUUCCUUGCCUUCAGUAGUGCAAAGCCAUUUGUCUCCACCUCCGAAAUCUCUCUCCAGCCCAUCUCUUUCCCUUCUGAUGCAUGGGCUCCCAUUUCUCCCUAGACUGCCUUAUUUAGC